UGAACGCUAGCUACAGGCUUAACACAUGCAAGUCGAGGGGCAUCAUGAAUCUGGCUUGCCAGAUUUGAUGGCGACCGGCGCACGGGUGCGUAACACGUAUCCAAUCUACCCAUGGCUCAGGGAUAGCCUUCUGAAAGGAAGAUUAAUACCUGAUGGUCUCAUGUUAAGGCAUCUUUAUAUGAGUAAAGAUUUAUCGGCGAUGGAUGAGGAUGCGUCCGAUUAGAUGGUUGGCGGGGUAACGGCCCACCAAGUCGGCGAUCGGUAGGGGUUCUGAGAGGAAGGUCCCCCACACUGGAACUGAGACACGGUCCAGACUCCUACGGGAGGCAGCAGUGAGGAAUAUUGGUCAAUGGUCGAGAGACUGAACCAGCCAAGUAGCGUGAAGGAGGAACCUGCCCUAUGGGUUGUAAACUUCUUUUGUUUGGGAAUAAAGUCGAGGCCACGUGUGCCUUAUUGUAUGUACCAUACGAAUAAGCAUCGGCUAAUUCCGUGCCAGCAGCUGC
rnacentral:rRNA from 1 species